rnacentral:misc_RNA from 1 species
GAUGAAGAACGUAGCGAAAUGCGAUACUUGGUGUGAAUUGCAGAAUCCCGUGAACCAUCGAGUCUUUGAACGCAAGUUGCGCCUCAAGCCAUUAGGUUGAGGGCACGUCUGCCUGGGCGUCACAUAUCGUUGCCUGAUGCCAGUUUCCUCGUGAUGGGUGACUGUGCAGGGCGAAUGAUGGCUUCCCGUGAGCAUUGUUGCCUCAUGGUUGGUUAAAAAUUGAGUCCUUGGUAGGGAGCGCCGUGAUAGAUGGUGGUUGAGUGACGAACGAGACCCAAUCAUGUGAGACCCCUACCGAAUUUGGCCUUCAUGACCCACAUGCGUCUUUGGAACGCUCAUGACGAGACCUCAGGUCAGGCGGGGCUACCCGCUGAGUUUAAGCAUAUCAAUAAGCGGAGGA